GGGGAGGGUUGAGAUCUCACAAACAUGUUUAACCCCGCCGCAUUUUUGCGCCUGUCCCAAGUCAGGAGCCUCUGGCCUUUGUUAGUCUUGUAUUAUUUUAAUUUUAGUUUCUUGUGUACAAUUUGGAAAUUAGUAUGGCGUUCAUUAUCACUGGACUAGUAUAUAUUUGUUUAGGGGCCAGCUGAAGGACGCCUCCGGGUGCAGGAAUUUCUCGCUACAUUGAAGACCUGUUGGUGACCCUCUGCUGUUGUUUUUUAUUUGGGCGGGUUGUUGUCUCUUUGACACAUUCCCCAUUUCCAUUCUCAAUUUUAUA
rnacentral:lncRNA from 1 species